GAACAGCAUUCAAUAUUGGGUUCUGAACCAGUCAUUACGAAGGGAAUUGAGGCAUAUGAUGCCUCAAUCUAAUUAUUUCACCUCUGUAGACAAGGAUAGGAUGAAUGCCUGUAUAAAAUUGAGGUUUCCAUUAGAGAAAAGGACGGAGAAAGAUCCAUAUGGUGUAACGUCUAGAUACGCUUGCUGUAUUUAACCAACAGAAUGCAGUAGAAGGAAAGAUGUGCUGCCGGGGACUUCCAACAGGGCCUCAAGAAGCCUUUGCAGCUUCAGCUCCUGCCUUCUUUGGAAUCUCAACAAUAUGUGAAGAAGCUUGAGCUAGCCUGCUGGAGAAACUAUGCAGCGAACUGAGGCGCCCCGGUUAUUAAUCCCCGCUAACUGCCCACCGAUAACAAUGGCAAGAAAGCCCAGUCGACCCCACAUGGAGCAGAGAUGAGUUGUCCCGACUGCACCCUGAACAAGUCCCUGACCCAAGGAUUAUGUACUAAUAAAUGGUGUUAUAUUAAGCCA